AAACGAUUUAGAAACGUGCAUUUAAUUAAUGUUGAAAAUAAAAUUAGAACCCUCUCUUCGUCUUUUUCUAAAUCAGAUGAAACCCUGCGUCACGCCGUCCACUCUGCGUCGCCGGAAAUACUUCCGGAACUGGCCUUCGGAGAAAGAGGAGAAAUUACAAAAUGGCCACCGAGCAAAACAGAGAAGCAGAGCGGCAGACAACAAAUCUGCCAUUUCCUGAAUGGAAGGAGAAGGUGGAAGAACAGUAUCAAAAGAUCAGAGAACAUGCAGAGACUUACCCAUAUGUCUGGGCCUCAUAUAUCGUUGUCUAUGGUGGACUCGCCUUAUGGACCACUUAUCGAUGGAGAAAGCUCCGUAGGACUGAGGAUAGGGUACGAGGCCUCCAAGUGAGACUCCGAAAGCUCAUCGAUGCCGAAGAGUCUGCAAGCUCGGCGGCUCCAUCAAUUGAUAAAGCAAAGCCCGAUAAACCCUCAAAACAAUGACCAUUUUGGGUUUUGAGAGGAUGAGAUAUCGAAAAUAUUUGAAAUGCGAGAAGAUUCUGUGAAAUGGGUAGAACUCAAUUGUGGUUUCUCCCCACUUUUUUCAUAAUUUUGUUGUUUUGUAUUUAUUUUUUAUUUUUUAUUUUUCCUUAUUUAAUUUGAGGAGCUCAGGAAAAUGUGUAACAGUUGGGAAUUUUUUUAAUUGUGAUCAUGUUCUUCUUGUUUCUUUAUAUUUGUUUGAUUCAUUUCACACUAACAUAAUUAACUAGAUUGAGAUAUGGAUAUAUACCUUUUGAAAUAUAAGAAGUAGAUUAAGUAGAGUUCAUUAUUGGCUUUUGA